rnacentral:misc_RNA from 1 species
GCCUUGAGCCUUUAAUAACUAUGUUUUUUCUUCUUCUUCUUCUUCUUUUUUCUUUGCCUUCUCCUUUCUUCCUGGAGGUGCAACUUUUUUUGGUUUUUUUUUAAAGAAACGUGUGUCCGGCGAAGGAAACGCGUUUCCGAUUUCAAGGAAUUACGGAAACGGCCCGGAGACGUUUCCUCGCCGUGUCCUAACGUUUCCGGCAAGGAAACGUUUCCAGAACGGGGAAACGCUCCCGCCUCCCGUUUCCGUGCAUCCUAGGUUAAUACAGGAGAGGGCUCAGAAUCCGGACCAGAUCAUCAAAAGCGGGAGAUAUGUCAGAAACAACUUCUUCUCCUUUUCAAGAACUCAAGGAAAUAACUGAAGCUAGUAACCUGCAUUGGAGCAAAGCAACGUCAUCACAAGGAAUAGAACCAGAGAUUAUGCAGAUUCAGGAAAUGCAUGCAAAAAGUCAUUACUCUGCUCUGGAACCGGCUGCUACGCUAUCUGAGACGUCACUUGAGGCUACAGCUCACAAUGUAAUGCCUUCUUCAAGGCUUAUGAAGGUUUAUCAUAUUCUGAACGAAAUCAUGACGAGAAUUGGAAAUCCAAAUAUAAGUACAAUCGGGGUUUGUGGAGGAGAAGGAGUAGGGAAAACCACUCUAUUGGAAGCCUUGAAGAUUCAGCCUGCUAUAAGGGAUGAGUUUCAAUUUGUCAUUUGGGUAACAGUUCCCAAGGUUCCAGAUCCGAGAGAGGUGCAGCUACAAAUUGCUAGACAAUUGCCUUUGACUGAUAAAAAGCCAAUAAACGCAUGGACGCUAUUGAGUUUUUUAGAGGGCGUCAAGUUUCUUCUGAUUCUGGAUGGUGUUCAGGAGUUUAUUAGCUUGAACACAGUGGGAAUCCCUGACCCAACUCCAGAAAAUGGGUGCAAGAUAGUUUUAACUACUAGAUCAGGGCAAAUUUGUGACAGAAUGUUAGUGGACUUGAAGAUGAAUCUGGAGGAUUUGUUGUGGCAG